UGGGGAAUAUUGGACAAUGGGGGGAACCCUGAUCCAGCCAUGCCGCGUGUGUGAAGAAGGCCUUAUGGUUGUAAAGCACUUUAAGCGAGGAGGAGGGUACUGGUAUUAAUACUACCAGCUACUGGACGUUACUCGCAGAAUAAGCACCGGCUAACUCUGUGCCAGCAGCCGCGGUAAUACAGAGGGUGCGAGCGUUAAUCGGAAUUACUGGGCGUAAAGCGCGCGUAGGUGGUUCGUUAAGUUGACUGUGAAAGCCCCGGGCUCAACCUGGGAACUGCAUCCAAAACUGGCGAGCUAGAGUAGGGCAGAGGGUGGUGGAAUUUCCUGUGUAGCGGUGAAAUGCGUAGAUAUAGGAAGGAACACCAGUGGCGAAGGCGACCACCUGGGCUCAUACUGACACUGAGGUGCGAAAGCGUGGGGAGCAAACAGG
rnacentral:rRNA from 1 species